rnacentral:misc_RNA from 1 species
GUUGGUGAACUAGCGGAGGGAUUAUUAUAGAGUUCUAAAAGACUCCUAAAACUAUUGUGAACGUACCCGUCAGCGUUGCCUCGGCGGGCGGCCCCUCCCUAGGGCCGCUGCCUCCCUCGGGGGGUGCCCGCCGGCGUACUAAAACUCUUUUGUAUUUUAGUGGCCUCUCUAAGAAAACAAGCAAAUAAGUUAAAACUUUCAACAACGGAUCUCUUAGUUCUA